ensembl:snRNA U6 U6 spliceosomal RNA
GUGCUAGCUUCAACAGUACAUAUACUAAAAUUGGAAUGCUACAAAUAAGAUUAAGAUGGCCUCUGUACAAGGAUGACACAAAUUCAUGAAGCAUUCCACAUUUUU